rnacentral:rRNA from 1 species
UGAGCAACCUGCCCUUAGCUCUGGGAUAACCCCGGGAAACCGGGGCUAAUACCGGAUACGAGUCCGAGCGGCAUCACGCGGACUGGAAAGUUUUUCGGCUAAGGAUGGGCUCGCGGCCUAUCAGCUUGUUGGUGGGGUAAUGGCCUACCAAGGCGACGACGGGUAGCCGGCCUGAGAGGGUGAUCGGCCACAUUGGAACUGAGACACGGUCCAGACUCCUACGGGAGCAG